rnacentral:tRNA from 1 species
GGUGGGGUGCGAGAGCGGCUGAAUCGGGCGGUCUCGAAAACCGUUGUACCCUCACGGGUACCGUGGGUUCGAAUCCCACCCCCACCGCCA